UAAGUACUCCCUCCGUCCUAAAAUUCUCGUCUUACAUUUGUCUAGAUAUAGAUGUAUCUAACACUAAAACACAACUAGAUACAUCCAUAUUUAAACAAAUCUAAGACAAAAAAUUUGGGACGGAGGGAGUACUAU
rnacentral:pre_miRNA from 1 species